GUCCUCCGGGCCCGCACCGCCCUCUCCCGCCGGACACUAGAGCCCCGAGUGCGGGGCGCCUGCUCGCGUGCCUGCGGCCCGGGCGCCGGGGUCCAGGCCGGGGAGGCGGCCGCGGGUGGGGCCGUGUUUCUGACAGACGGCGUGACGGCGCGGGGAGGGGCCCCCGGGCGGGGGACCCGCAGGUGCGGAGGCCUGGAGGCCGGGCUGAGCCAGAGGCAUUCGGGCAAUCCGGGGAGUCGUGUCCUAUCAGCACGGAGCAGAGUGUCCCACCCUUUUGUAUUAGGUUGGGGCAAGGAAUGUGAGGAUGGAUAAGACCGGUAAGGAGGCUACUGCCGCGGCUUCCAGGGAUGUUUUGACGGUGGAUUGACCAGAGUAGUGCCAGGAGAGCGGGGAGGAGUGAUCGGGUUCUGGAUAGAUUUUAAAGAUAUAGCAGGCAGAUGUGGCUGUGAUUGAUAGCGAAAAAACAAGUUUUAAAUUUGUUUGAUUUUGUUUUUGGUAUUUUUCAAGGACAUCUUGAACAUGGAAAUCAGGAAGUCAAACUAGGGAGUAGAUUUCAGAGUGGACAUCGUUGAUUCUGAGAUGUCUCAGAGUGGAAGGGUCACAUGGCAGCUAGACUGGAAGAUCUGGAGUUCUGGAGAAGGGCCUGGGUUGGAUGUCCACAGGGUGUAGAGUGUGGCUAGGCCUGCUGGACAUCAGAUUUAAAGGUAGCGAUCUUAAUCUUAAUUAAUUCAUCUUAUUUCAAAUGGUCCUUGGGGUGAGAGGGGAGGGCUGUGGCUGAGGGCAGGGGGGAAAGCGUGGGCGUUCCUGAGACUUCCCCCCAAGGAGAGACAUUCUGUCUGUCCAGUGACUGUGAGAAGAGAAGGCUGUGUAGGGCAUGAGGAGCCUGGCCUGGCAGCAGCAGAUGGGAUGCCACGGAAGUCGGUGUCUGAUAGUGUUACCUGUUCAACCCCUUUAACAGCUUGCUCUAAGAGAAGGUGCCAGGAGUGAUUUCACUUUAUUCAGUCUUGCUAAAGGCAUGUACCUCAAAGGCCAUGUGAUAGACUAUCCCAGCCUCCUUGUGUUUUUGACCAAAUGUUCCAAGGACAGGCUCACUGGGGGCAUCUUGCCUCAUAGGAAGUUCCUACCAAAGAAUUCCUUUAGUAUGAGUCGUCCCAGCACAGGAAGUGUUUCUGCCCACACUCCCUAUAUGUUGUUUGUGGUUUUAGUGAGUGUAAGGGAGGUAGAACCCUACCUCUGCCUAACUUAGGUUUUCAGUGAGGACUCUUUAAGAAAAAAAACAGACUGAUGAGACAAACAAAUAGUACCUCCAUUAUAAAUAAAUAAACCUAAUUACCCCCCCAAAUUUUUUUAAUUAAUUUUUUUAAUUGAAGUAUAGUCAGUUUGCAAUAUGUCAAUUUCUGGUGUACAGCAUAAUGUUUCAGUCAUACAUCUACAUACAUAUAUUCAUUUUCAUAUUCUUUUUCAUUAUAGGUUACCACAAGAUAUUGAAUAUAGUUCCCUGAGCUGUGCAGAAGAAACUUAUUUUUUAUCUAUUUUAAAUAUAGUAGUUAGUGUUUGUGAAUCUCAAACUCCCAAUUUAUCCCUUCCCACCUUCUUUCCCUGCCAGUAACCAUAGUUUGUUUACUAUACCUAUGAGUGUUUCUGUUUUGUAGAUAAGUUCAUUAUCACUUGUGUCUUUAUCCUCUUUUUUUUUAGAUACCACGUAUGAGUGAUAUACUGUAUUUUUCUUUGUCUUUCUGGUUUCACUUAGAAUGACAAUCUCCAGAUCCAUCCAUAUUGCUGCAAAUGGCAUUAUUUUAUUCUUUUUAUUGCUGGGUAAUAUUCCAUUGUAUAAAUAUACCACAACUUUUUUAUCCAGUCCUCUGUUGAUGGACAUUUAGAUUGUUUCCAUGUCUUAGCUAUUGUAAAUAGUGCUGCUAUGAAUGUUGGGGUGCAUGUAUCUUUUUGAAUUAGAGUUUUCUCUGGAUAUAUGCCCAGCAGUGGGAUUGCUGGUUCAUAUGGUAAAUCUAUUUUUAGUUUUUUGGGGAUUCUCCAUACUGUUUUCCAUAAUGGCUGCACCAAAUUACAUUCCUACCUGCAGUGUGGGAGGGUUCCCUUUUCUCCCCAGUGUGAAGGGUUUGAAGCACUGUUGGGAGAAUGACCAGAGCAUGUCAUGUAAUUCCCCAGGUAAUAAUCCCAACAACCAUGUGCCGUGAAUACUGUUAUUUCCCCAUUUCAGAAAUGAGGAAACUGAGGCUUGGAGGAGUGAGACGUCCUGCCUAAUGUAGCAUACUUAACCAUGGGGUUACUAGCUGCAAACCCAGGUAAGCCUCCCCCUAGAGCUCAGGCCCUGAAGUCAGGCACUAGACACCACGUGGUAGAUUCCAUGGUGAAUUGGAAGCCAAACACCACCUGACUGGUCCUAAUGCAAAUUCAAAGUUUGUGAACUUGAAAGUAAGAUAUGGAAGAAUUGUGCCACACCCCUAUGCUGUCCUUAGUCCUGAGGGAAAAUACUUCUUAAAAGUAUAGAUCUUGAAGCAUCUUGCCUGGAAGAAUGUAUCCCUAGGCUGACAGGCUACCAGAAAUUGAUGACGUCAUUCUGUAUGUGUGAUUAUUUUCUUCCUCAAAAUUAUUUUAUUUUAUUUUAAAGACUUUUUUGGAGGAGAGGUAAUUAGGUUGGUUUGUUUAUUCAUAAUGGAGGUACUGGGGAUUGAACCCAGGACCUCAUGUAUGCUAUGCACAUGCUUUACCACUGAGCUCUUUCCCUCCCUUGUCUGUAAAAUCUUUAAUCAUUCCUGUUAAGACUACUUGUAGGUCCAGGGUGUGUGUAUGUGACUUUGGACAGAUACUGCCCCUAACUCCGCAAGUAGGCAGCCUUGACUCCCCUCCCACCACGUGGGUACCUGAGGGCCCAAGUCUGUGGUGAUGAGAACCAUGUAUCUAGCACUAAUUGUGCACCUUGCACUGUUUAAAGCACUUGGUACAUAACCUCACCAAGAUGUUGGUACUUUUUGUUCUGCCAUUUUAAUGAACGGAUGUUUAUGUUUGAGGAACAUUUAAAUCACUUCACAGAUCUGCAAGGGAGGUUUUAUCUUCAUUUCACAUCAUGGAGGUGAAACUGCUGGCCUGGGGUCCCAGGAUUGGAGGGUUGAGGCUGGGAUUUACCAGCCAUGAAUCUCCAGAGCAGCCAGGGCCAGUGUAUCCCACUCAGGAUAUGGAGCACCUGCGGGAGAUUUUACAGGAAGCAGCCCCCCACCAGAUGGAAAACUGCUGACUGCAAGCAUGUAGACCCCAGACUGGUUGAAACCAGAAGAUGGGUGAUGAUGAAAACUUCACUUUGAUGCCAACUAAUCUGAGAGGGCUGUGUAAUCUCAGGACGUGUUCGUGUACUUCUCCCAGGAGGAGUGGGGGCUCCUUGAUGAGGCUCAGAGACGCCUGUACUGGGACGUGAUGCUGGAGAGCUUGGCACUUUUAGCCUCCCUGAGCAUCACAUCCUCCAAUUCACACUCGGUCACUCUGCUGCAGCAAGGGGGUGAGCCUUGGGUGCCUGGCCAGCUCAAUCUGAUACCAGCCACAGAGAAAGAGGCUCAGCCCGGAUCUGGACCUGGUUGUUGGUGUGGAGUGGAGGUUGAGGCUGUGUCCUCUGAGCAGAGCGUUUCUUCAGGAGUGUCACAGAUCAGGACCCAUUUGGCAGGUCGGAAGACCCACCUGUGCGAUGUGUCUGGCCCGCCACUGAAAGACAUCUAACACCCGAUUGAAUGCCAGGGGGCAAAGCCAGCCUGAAACCAUACAUGUGUGAGGCGUGUGGGGAGCAGUUCUGGUUCAGCGCAGACCGUCACCAGCACCAGGGGCAGCAUGGAGGAGAGAAAUUCUUCAGGAGGGGCAAGGGCAGGGACUCCAUGAGAAGCUGCAGAAUAUGUGUGCUGGAGAAGCCCUACAUACACACUGCGGGCGGAAUGGACUUUCCAGCCCCUUCAGACCUGCUUCAGCACCAGGGCCCUCACAGCAGGAUGACGCCCCCCAAGAGCAUGGAGCUCGGGGGAGCCCUUACCACCUGGCAGAGCGUCACAGGUGCAGCAAAUGUGGGAAAGUGUUCACCCGAAAAGACACACUUGCCCAGCACCAGGGAAUCCACACUGGAGAGAGGCCUUACAAGUGCAGCCAGUGUGGGAAGUCCUUUAGCCAGAGCUCCCACCUCAACGUGCACAGGCGAAUUCAUAGCAGUGACUAUGAGUGCAGCAAGUGUGGGAAAGCCUUCAGCUGCAUCUCUAAACUCAGUCAGCACCAGAAAGUUCACUCUGGAGAGAAGCCUUACGAGUGCAGCAGUUGUGGGAAAGCCUUUACCCAGAGGCCAAACCUUAUUCGGCACUGGAAGGUGCACACGGGAGAGAGGCCAUAUGUGUACAGUGAAUGUGGUUUGAAAGAGUUCCACCGCAAGUACACGCUUGUUCUCCACCAGAGGAUUCACAUGGGAGGAAAGCCUUGAGAGGCCAGUGAACAUGGGACAUCUUUUGGCCAGUGUUCCCAACUUACUGCCCACUUGAGAAUUCCUAGUGGUGCUUAAGAGUGCGGCAGACGUAGGAGAGCCUUUACCUUAAGACCAGACCUUACUCGGCACAGGAAGUCUAUGCUGGACAAAGGAUUGUACCAGGAAUGUGCUGUCUCCUCGCUCAGCCUAACAGCUCUCCCCAGAGCAAAGGGCCAUCAGUCAGUGAAACCUCAGAGAUUGGAAGUUCUGCAACAGGAGGGUUCCCUGUAGUGCCACGUGUGUGUGGUGCUUUCGGGAGCUGUGGUGCAUGUUCUAAACUGUCAAGUGCCUCUGCCGGUGGUAUAAACCAUCCUCCAGUUCCCAUUUGCAAAGUGCCAGCGCGUGUGUCAGUUAGCCAGUAUGCGUGGGCAGGCAGCCCUCUGCUGUCUCCCCGGUCCCCGGAAGGAGUCAUGACUGGCCUCAGUAGCCUGCUGGGGGCCUCAUUUUCACCCUCUUGACUGGUUUCGGCCUGGAAAGAACCAGCACAUCAGAUGGAUUCUCCAGGAGCUUGCAGAGAUUCGCCAACGUGCAUCUCUCAGGCUCAUCUGCAGUUGUGAGCCUCACAUUUGCCCACAUGCACACAAUAAUAAAGUCCUUAUUCUUUGA